rnacentral:lncRNA from 1 species
AUGCGGGAGGCUAGGGCAGCUGGAGGUCGAGAGGGGGAGGAAUCGGGCAGAGGAGGGAGAUCGAGGCUUGGGAAGAAGGGGAGGACGAGAGGAGGAUGAGAACGGCGCGAGGGGGAACCAGAGGGAACGAGGAGGGGGCUCGGGUAGAGGGCGCAGCGCUAGGGUUGCGGGACUUGGGCCGGCCAGCUGGGCCUUGCCGGCUGGGCUCCCUCUUCCUCUGUUUUUUUUACUUUAAACUCAGAAAAACUUAAACAAAGAAAAACUUUUAACAAAAAUUAAAAAAAAUGCUUUUGGCUACUUUGAAAAUUAUACCCCAACUAUAAGAAUAGCUUGGGCAUCUUUUUUUUAAAGAAAUAAAAUGAAACCUUUUCAAAGAAUAAAAUAAAACCCUUUCUUUAUAAAUAAAACGGGACUCUAAUUUUGAAAUAAAACAAAAGAAGAAAUAAAAGAAAAACCCAAGGGGUUCCUCCACAUUUAAUAAAAAGAUUUUUAAAAGAAGACAAACCUUUUUUAAAUAGGGGUUAAAACGGAAACUUUUACGCAACCACAAAACAAAUAAAAGAGGAGAGAGGGGGAGUUCCUAUUACACGCAAAGACACCGGCAGGACUUGAAGCACACACACUCAAAACACCACACGCAACAGACUAUAUAAGAUGCCAUGCAUGAUGCGACCAUGCAAACUAAAUGACGAUGCAACAAACGGAAUAUAAUCACACGACGGAAACGGAAAUGAAGGGGAAUCUUCUGAGGCAUCGGUCUCGGGUUGUCACAAGCGCGACCCAGAACCCCUGUUCACAUGCAUGCGGUGUGCAGCUAUCAUAUCUUGGAAGUUGCGCCCAUCCCAAAAGUGAUAUCGCAUAUUGGUGUUAUUGGGCGACCGUGUGUAGCGGCCAUUGAACUGCUUAAUCCUAGCGGCGUUAUGUUGGGCGAGAAUUUGUGGCCAAUGAGGGUCGUUUGUCGUGUAGCCUAGAUCCGCCCUCGCCUCUGACGUCAACCAUGUUAAAACCCACUGAAGACUCACGCCAUGGCAACCGAGCCGAGGGUGGGUAGGGGUCGUCGAACUGCUUGAUCCAGUCGGCGUUAUCCUGAACAAGGAUCUGCGGCCAAUGAGAAUUUUCCGUCGUGUAGCCUAGAACAGCCUCGCCUCCAACGCCAACCCUACCAAAACAUUUUGGUAGCACUUUUAAAUUUAAUGUUGCAACAUGGACCCCACUUGUCAAUGGGGAACUAUCCAUAAAAGUCAACAAACUCAAAUGUAAGGACGCCACGGAAUAAAAGUAAGUAUUAUUCACAUCGGCAACGAAGUAAUGAUAUAUCUACGAACCUUUUAGGGCUGCUUUGAUUCAAAGGAUUUUCAUAUGAAUUUUGGAAGAUUAGAAUUCUUAGAAACUUUUCUUAUUAUGGUUUUGAUUUAUAAGAUUGAAUCAUAUAGGAAGUUUUCUUAAGGAUUUAUAUGUACUACUUCCAUAGAAUGCAAUCAAACAACCCAAAAUCCUAUAGGAUUGAGAUGAGCAUUCCAAUCCUAUGUUUUCCUUAUUCCCUCAUUUUUUGAAUCCCGUGAAUCAAAGUCUCUAGUCACUUUCAUGCAAAAAAUAAGUCCCUUAGGCCCCUUUCAAUGUGUAGGACUCUAGGAGCUUAGAUGGGGGUGCUAAGUGUGUUAAGGAGUUUAGCAACUAAAAUUCAUAAUGCAUAGGUGCUUAGUUUGUUGUUGUUAAGCUUCCUUCACUCAAUUGGUUCCCAAGUAAACUCCUCCAUGCAUCGGGUAAACUUUUUUUUUUUGCAUAGAUCCGCACACUUGGCAUUGGUUCUUCUUGGGGUCAUCAAAGUCCUCUCUGUCUCCUCUUAACUACCUUGCCACAUGAGAUUUUUUGUCUAUGUGACAUGCUCAACACAUGUACACCUUGAAACACUGGGAAGGGCUUUAGUCACCGAGAAGAUUUACACGCUGAUGUGGUGUUAUCUAGUUGGGUUAGUGUGGGGCCCAUAGAGAAAUUCAAGGGGAGAGGUUAGUGGGAUCGGUGGAGGAUUAGCUCAUAAGGAUGGUCAUAGUGGGUAGUAAGUUAUAAGACUAGUAACAUGCAUACGUUAGUAGUCUAUGUUAGUACCUUCAUAGUGGGUAGUGUCAUAUGGGUGAUAACAUAGGUGUCCUCAUUUAUUAUUUUGUAGAGUCAUUUUGCAUUGAAAAGCGCUAUGUGACGGCAACAUAAUAUGGUACUCUAUUUUCCUUUGGAAAUUGCUUUUGGAGCUCGGCCUUCAUGGAGGCCUUUAAAUUUGAAAUUCAAAUUUCAUAAAUUUCAUAUUUUUAUAUUUCAAAAAAAUCUGAAAAAAUACAAAAAUAAGUGAGGGUGUAACACACAUGUGUGUAAAUUUUCAGAAGAAAAUACGUUGAAAUAAGGGCUGUACAAAAAAGAUAAAUCUGAAGCUUUUUAACACAUGAUACUAUUCAUUGUUCCAGGCCAUGAAUUUGACUUUUUUGUGCAAAUCGUAUUUUAGGGUAUUUCAUCCUAAAACUUUACACAUAUACACAUAAUAUCCUUCUUUACUUGCGUAUUUUUUCAGAAUUUUUUCAGACCGAAAAGUUUGAUAUUUCAUUUUUUUUUUCGGCCUCCAUGAAACAACCUCUAAACGUCUAUUUUCAUUUGCCUCUCUCUUCAUUAACUAUUUGCCACGUCAUUCUUUUUGCUUAUGUGAUAUCUAUGUUAUUAUUUAUGUUACCCCACUAUGAUCAGUCUAACCCUGUUGUGUGUAACCUCUUUAUCCCAAGGUUUAGAUUAUUGGUGCAGAAAUUGUCAGGCAGGGCCCACUUCAAUUCUUUGAUGGAGUAGGCUACAGUUUUAUGACAGAUUUUCAGAAUAUCAUAUGUCAACCUAGCCGAGAGUCAACUAAUCUAUGAUGUAACGGUGCAACUGUAUAAUAGGAUGGAAAAUAUAGAGAUAAAAUAUGCUAAAGGGAAUGGAUUGUGUUUGUGCAUGAUAAUUAAUUAAUUAAGUUCAGGUGGGCGAUCGCCUGUUGCCUUUUCAAGUAGACUUGAUGCCAUAGUAGUCCAUAUUUAUUCUUACCCAUAUAUUCGAAGAGAAAAAAAGUACUCCAACAACUCUAACGCUUCCGUUCUGCACAAAUGACACUGCACGACUGUUCUCAUACCGUGGAUGAGCAACACUCAUCUUAUUGUAAUGGCAACAUACAUAGUAGCACAUGUUCUUCAAACCGGCAAAAGUUUGGUGAAGUGCAAAUGGGAAGAUUGUGUCUUCUUAGCUCCCGUGAUCGAUGAGCAGACAGUUCAGUGUGCCAUGUUUCUGAACAUCACAAGAACUGACAGCGAAAGUGAACAAACCGAGCAAGGAAUUCCCACUACAGGAAAAAAAAAACUUAUAAGCCGAGUGCCCGAAACACUCGGCUUACGACGGAUUACAAUCGGUUUACAUAUAAGCCGGGUGUUUUUCCCGAAUUAUAACACACGCCUUAUUAAGGAUCGGCUUAUCCGGUGUAAGCCGAGACCAAAGGACGGUGAGCAGCCGUCACCUGUGCUUCCAUCGGUACCUAGCAGACGGGGAGUGGACAGCGCCGGUGCCCGUGAGGGCGCGACGGCCCUGCUGCUUCUCGCGGCCGCCUGUCGCCGGCGCCUUACCAUGGCCAUGGCGGCGACCGGUGCUACUCUUGCCCCCGUCGUCCUCCGACAUCACCUCUCCAAAGCAGGCGGCGGCAUCCACCGGCAGCUCAAGUGAACCGGAUCCGAAAAGCCAAAACCGCGGUGAGAAUGAGAUGAGGAUACGACUAGGACGAAGAAACCAAUAUUCGUUCUCUCGCGUGGCACGCACAAACAUCUUCUUCCAGCUCGCGCUCGUCCCCGGCUGGCCUUCCUGACAGUCGGUGUCGCCGUGGAGCAAGAGCAACCACCACAGCCUGUCCCCCCGUAGCGCCUUGUACCUGGGCAUCCAGAGCUGGCGGUCCCGGUCGCGGUCCGCCACGAAGCGCCUCAGCUCGGUGCAGGUGCUCUCCACCCUCAGGAGGUCCUUCCCGUCGGCGAGCCUCUCCAGGAUCGCCGCCAUGGCGUCGCCUGGGAGGGACAUGAGGGUGGGGGCUCGUCCCGGCACCACGCCGUGCUCACGGCAUAGAUCCGAGAAGAUGCGCCGGCUGAACCCGUCGCCGACCUUCCUCCAGAGCGCGGCCGUCGGGGAGCCGUCGUUCCGGAGCAGCCUGCGCGUCGUGCCGUUCAGAUCGCCCGACAGGAGCGGCGCGAUGGAGAGCGCGUCCAGGCACGCCCAGUACGUGUUGAUCCGGGCAGAGCAGACCUGCAGCUGCAGGUAGAAGAUGACGUGCCGCCCGUCGGUGCACACCCUCAGCGCGGCGGCGCCCAUGUUGUGCCUGGGCAGCAGCUGCAGCGCGGUGUACUCCAGUGACAGGGUCGAGGCCGUCGCGCCCACCUCUGUUGAAAGCCGGCAGGUAGACGACAGAUCCCGAUCCUGGCGGUCGCGGCGAGGCACGAUGAAGCCCGCGUCGAGAAAGGCGGCGUGGACAACGAUCACUAGACGGCCCAGGAUGCGCUCGGCUUUCCACCGGCGGGCGUCCACUACCCCGUGCAGGGGAGAGGCCUUCGACGACAUGGCUCGCCACGAGCCCGAGCUGAGGGGAAUGGAUCCCUUGAUUAUAGUAAUUGUUUUAAAGAGGAGUGUGGCGAGUUUUCAACCUAUUUGACGAAGCCCACAUCCUCAUCCCAUUCUUGAAAAUUUCACCACGGGGUUCCUGAUGACAAGUACUUGCUCUGUGUUAAAAUAAGUAUCUUAAGUUUAGUAUAAAUUUGUAUUAAAGCUAGUACAAAGUUGAGACAGUUAUUUUAAAACAGAGAAAGUAUAUUUUUUGGAGCUUUCUUUUUAUGUACGGCAACUGCUUUCUCCUAGGUUUGUCUUGUGUUGUAUAUGGUGGCCUUUGUGGGUUUGUAAAAAUGGAUCAUCCUUUGUCAUACCGCAAGGUGUAAGGCUAAGCACGAGGGGGCAACGGCGGCUGCAAAGUCAAACCCAAGGUGCAAAGUAUACUACUAUGCCCUGUUUGGUUGCGCAGAAUUCGCCGCGGAAUUGAAUUGGCAAUGGAAUACCAAAUCAACGAUUUGAAUGGAAUUCCAGUUUUGCUGUUUGGAUGCGCAUGGUAUUCGUCCGUAGAAUCAAGGCUGGAAUGGAAUUCCAAAUCCUCUUUGGAUGUACAUCAUGUGGAAUUGUAAUUUUUUGGAAUUUGAACAAUAUAACAUCGAUGAUAUGCAGGGAGGGGCCGGCCAGGGGUAGGUGCGGCAGCGGGUCGGCGCAGCAUCCAUGGCCGCCGUCGGUCACCAUCCCGUAGUAAAUCCCCGAUCUGGGGUUCGGCCUAUGCGGGGAGGGGCCGGCCAGGGGUAGGUGCGGCNNNNNNNNNNNNNNNNNNNNNNNNNNNNNNNNNNNNNNNNNNNNNNNNNNNNNNNNNNNNNNNNNNNNNNNNNNNNNNNNNNNNNNNNNNNNNNNNNNNNNNNNNNNNNNNNNNNNNNNNNNNNNNNNNNNNNNNNNNNNNNNNNNNNNNNNNNNNNNNNNNNNNNNNNNNNNNNNNNNNNNNNNNNNNNNNNNNNNNNNNNNNNNNNNNNNNNNNNNNNNNNNNNNNNNNNNNNNNNNNNNNNNNNNNNNNNNNNNNNNNNNNNNNNNUAUGCGGGGAGGGGCCGGCCAGGGGUAGGUGCGGCGGCGGGUCAGCGCAGCAUCCAUGGCCGCCGUCGAUCACCAUCCCACCGUCAAUCCCCGAUCUGGGGUUCGGCCUAUGCGGGGAGGGGCCGUCCAGGGGUAGGGCGAGAUGGGAGAGGGAGGCGGCGAGGAGAAGGUGGGCGGGGAAGAGGAGGAAGGGCUGGAGAUGGAGGCUGACCUGCUCGGGCCGCCGGCGACUCCCGCCUCGUGCGUGGUCGCUGGAGUAGGUUGUCUCUCGAUGCAGCAAGUCAGGGGAGGAAAACGCGAGACGAGCAGAUUCCGUGAGAUUUCCCACCUCCACAGCUCGGAAAUGUUUCGCACACGGGGCUGGUCCGCUCGGAA